rnacentral:rRNA from 1 species
UACGUAGGGCGCAAGCGUUGUCCGGAAUUAUUGGGCGUAAAGAGCUCGUAGGUGGCUUGUCACGUCGGCUGUGAAAUCCCGAGGCUCAACCUCGGGUCUGCAGUCGAUACGGGCAAACUAGAGUAUUGCAGGGGAGACUGGAAUUCCUGGUGUAGCGGUGAAAUGCGCAGAUAUCAGGAGGAACACCGGUGGCGAAGGCGGGUCUCUGGGCAAUAACUGACGCUGAGGAGCGAAAGCGUGGGGAGCGAACAGG